rnacentral:lncRNA from 1 species
UUGGCUUUAUAAGUUUUAAAUCAGUUAUCCUUGCGCCAAGAAAUAGAACAAAACUACCAAGAAAUAGAACAUCACUACAUGCUUUAAAUGCAAAGUACAUGUACUUUCAUUAUUCAGAGUACGCAGCACCAAAAGUUGCAUUUAUGAAAAGGGUAUUUUUUGGUGAACGAUGAGACAUCAACUCGACAACGCAAAUAUAGCCCAAUUGAUUGACUGAUAUAUACUUUGGUAACUCUUUAUCUGGUCAUUUAUCUAGGGUUCUCCAGUUGGUCAUUUAUAACGGAGUCUUCGUCGAGUAAGCAAGGUCAUUUAUCACGGACUCUUUAUUGGGUCAUUUUUCACGGAGACUUUAUCAAGUCAGUUAUCAAAAGAGUCUUCAUCGGUUUAUUUACCAAGCUGUCUUCAGCUAGUAAUUAUCAAGCAGUUUUUUUUGUCAUUUAUCAAGGAGUCUUUAUUGAGUUAUUUACCGUCUUCUUACUUUAUGUUACUGAUUAAGUGUGUACGAUUAAUGUGUCUGAAUUAAAUUGAGGACCAAAUAAUGUGAAGCCAGAAAUAGAACAUUAAUUCAAUUUUGGGGCAGCAAAAACAAAAGGACCAAAACGUAACCUAUACCUGAUAAGGUUGUGACCUUAAUGUUAAGUUAAUUUAUAAGUUGAGGUUGUAUGACCAAAGCGUUUCAUCAAUACCGAGUUGCAACUUGAUGAAUUGUACUAUUUUGGAACGAACGUACUAUCCAUCAGCAACGGUACCAACCCACCUAAACCAUGUAACUUAAAAAGGCUUUGAUU